GGUCCUGUGGCGCAAUGGGUAGCGCGUCAGACUACGAAUCAGAGGAUUCCAGGUUCGAAUUCUGGCAGGUUCG